UUAGGAUGAACGCUGGCGGCGUGCCUAAUACAUGCAAGUCGAACGAGUUCUGAUUAUUGAAAGGUGCUUGCAUCUUGAUUUAAUUUUGAACGAGUGGCGGACGGGUGAGUAACACGUGGGUAACCUGCCCUUAAGUGGGGGAUAACAUUUGGAAACAGAUGCUAAUACCGCAUAAAUCCAAGAACCGCAUGGUUCUUGGCUGAAAGAUGGCGUAAGCUAUCGCUUUUGGAUGGACCCGCGGCGUAUUAGCUAGUUGGUGAGGUAACGGCUCACCAAGGCAAUGAUACGUAGCCGAACUGAGAGGUUGAUCGGCCACAUUGGGACUGAGACACGGCCCAAACUCCUACGGGAGGCAGCAGUAGGGAAUCUUCCACAAUGGACGCAAGUCUGAUGGAGCAACGCCGCGUGAGUGAAGAAGGCUUUCGGGUCGUAAAACUCUGUUGUUGGAGAAGAAUGGUCGGCAGAGUAACUGUUGUCGGCGUGACGGUAUCCAACCAGAAAGCCACGGCUAACUACGUGCCAGCAGCCGGGGUAAUACGUAGGUGGCAAGCGUUAUCCGGAUUUAUUGGGCGUAAAGGGAGCGCAGGCGUUUUUUAAGUCUGAUGUGAAAGCCCUUGGCUUAACCGAGGAAGUGCAUCGGAAACUGGGAAACUUGAGUGCAGAAGAGGACAGUGGAACUCCAUGUGUAGCGGUGAAAAUGCGUAGAUAUAUGGAAGAACACCAGUGGCGAAGGCGGCUGUCUGGUCUGUAACUGACGCUGAGGCUCGAAAGCAUGGGUAGCGAACAGGAUUAGAUACCCUGGUAGUCCAUGCCGUAAACGAUGAAUGCUAGGUGUUGGAGGGUUUCCGCCCUUCAGUGCCGCAGCUAACGCAUUAAGCAUUCCGCCUGGGGAGUACGACCGCAAGGUUGAAACUCAAAGGAAUUGACGGGGGCCCGCACAAGCGGUGGAGCAUGUGGUUUAAUUCGAAGCAACGCGAAGAACCUUACCAGGUCUUGACAUCUUUUGAUUACCUGAGAGAUCAGGUUUCCCCUUCGGGGGCAAAAUGACAGGUGGUGCAUGGUUGUCGUCAGCUCGUGUCGUGAGAUGUUGGGUUAAGUCCCGCAACGAGCGCAACCCUUAUGACUAGUUGCCAGCAUUUAGUUGGGCACUCUAGUAAGACUGCCGGUGACAAACCGGAGGAAGGUGGGGAUGACGUCAAAUCAUCAUGCCCCUUAUGACCUGGGCUACACACGUGCUACAAUGGAUGGUACAACGAGUUGCGAGACCGCGAGGUCAAGCUAAUCUCUUAAAGCCAUUCUCAGUUCGGACUGUAGGCUGCAACUCGCCUACACGAAGUCGGAAUCGCUAGUAAUCGCGGAUCAGCACGCCGCGGUGAAUACGUUCCCGGGCCUUGUACACACCGCCCGUCACACCAUGAGAGUUUGUAACACCCGAAGCCGGUGGCGUAACCCUUUUAGGGAGCGAGCCGUCUAAGGUGG
rnacentral:rRNA from 1 species